rnacentral:rRNA from 1 species
GGACUACAGGGGUAUCUAAUCCUGUUUGCUCCCCACGCUUUCGUACCUCAGCGUCAGGAAUGGACCAAGAAGCUGCCUUCGCCAUUGGUGUUCCUCUCGGGAUCUAAGCAUUUUACCGCUACUCCGAGAAUUCCACUUCUCUCUUCCAUCCUCUAGCACGCCAGUAUCCAUCGCGGGUCCCCGGUUAAGCCGGGGAAUUUAACAAUAGACUUAACGCGCCGCCUACGCACUCUUUACGCCCAAUUAUUCCGAAUAACGCUUGCACCCCUCGUAUUACCGCGGCUGCUGGCAC